GCCAUUAUUCCACUCUUCUUAAACAGUGUGUCUCUACUGCAAAUGUUUUCUUUCAUAGCAGGGUCAAGUGUGUUUACAUUGGCUUUGAAGUGGAAUUUAACGUCCAUCAACCUGGCUGUGGCUGUUUACACUUCAGGGAUGGCUAUAUAGGUUCAUGAGGAAGCACUCUCUCUCUCCCUUUCUUCCUUCCUUCACUCUUUCGAAUAUCCUUCCUUCUUUCGAAUAUAACUUGUAAUUUGUAUUUAUUCUUUCUGAUUUUUUUUUACUUCUUC